UACGUAGGGUGCGAGCGUUAAUCGGAAUUACUGGGCGUAAAGCGUGCGCAGGCGGUUCGCCAAGUCAGGUGUGAAAUCCCCUGGGCUUAACCUGGGAAUUGCGCUUGAAACUAGCGGGCUUGAGUGUGGCAGAGGGGGUGGAAUUCACGUGUAGCAGUGAAAUGCGUAGAGAUGUGGAGGAACACCGAUGGCGAAGGCAGCCUCCUGGGCCAAUACUGACGCUCAUGCACGAAAGCGUGGGGAGCAAACAGG
rnacentral:rRNA from 1 species